GUGGAUUAGAUACCCCGGUAGUCCACGCCGUAAACGAUGAGUGCUAGGUGUUGGGGAGGAAUCCUCGGUGCCGCAGCUAACGCAAUAAGCACUCCACCUGGGGAGUACGACCGCAAGGUUGAAACUCAAAGGAAUUGACGGGGGCCCGCACAAGCGGUGGAGCAUGUGGUUUAAUUCGAAGCAACGCGAAGAACCUUACCAAGGCUUGACAUCCCGAUGACCGCUCUAGAGAUAGAGCUUCUCUUCGGAGCAUCGGUGACAGGUGGUGCAUGGCCGUCGUCAGCU
rnacentral:rRNA from 1 species